rnacentral:tRNA from 1 species
GGAGAGAUGUCUGAGCGGUCGAAGGAGCACGCCUGGAAAGCGUGUGUACGUGAAAGCGUACCGAGGGUUCGAAUCCCUCUCUCUCCG